GGGCAAAUUUUGUAACAUAUGGCGCAUCGGACGUUUAAACCCGACCGAUGUACACAUUCUUGAGUGCC
rnacentral:rRNA from 1 species